rnacentral:lncRNA from 1 species
GUGGGGUUUAGGGUUUAGGGUUUAGGGUUUAGGAUUUAGGGUUUAGGGUUUAGGGUUUAGAGUUUAGAGUUUAGGGUUUAGGGUUUAGAGUUUAGGGUUUAGGGUUUAGAGUUGAGAAAUGAGGUUUUGGGGAUAAGAUUUCAAAUUUAGAAAAAUAAAAAAAUUAAAAUUUUGAAAAGAUAAAAUGCUAUUUUGAUCAUUUUAGUUUUUGAAUGCUAUUUUUGUGAUAUAAAAUU